rnacentral:rRNA from 1 species
GACGGAGGGGGCAAGCGUUGUCCGGAAUCACUGGGCGUAAAGCGCACGUAGGCGGUUCGGUGCGUCGGUGCUGAAAGCGCCCCGCUUAACGGGGCGAGGUGUGCCGAUACGACCGGGCUAGAGGCAGGCAGAGGGUGGCGGAAUUCCGGGUGUAGUGGUGAAAUGCGUAGAGAUCCGGAGGAACGCCGGUGGUGCAGACGGCCACCUGGGCCUGACCUGACGCUGAGGUGCGAAAGCGUGGGGAGCGAACCGG